rnacentral:lncRNA from 1 species
UCCCAAUAAACGGAACCGCCCCCCCCCAAACCCAAAACCCCAAACCGUCCCGGAGCUGCGGUGACCCGCAAAGUUGGGGGGGGGGUGGGGGGGUCCGGUCAUGAAUGCUCGUCUGUGCUGUCGGACCUCCCAGGCGGCGGCCGCCAACGGCACCGGACCGGGACCGACAACAGGACCGGGACCGGGACCGACAUCGGGACCGGGACCGGACCGACAACAGGACCGGGACCGGACCGACAACAGGACCGGGACCGACAUCGGGACCGGGACCGGGACCGACAUCGGGACCCGGACCGACAACAGGACCGACACCGGACCGACAACAGGAACGGGACGGACACGGAGACCGAAACCAGGACCGACAACAGGACCGGGACCGACACCGGGACCCGGACCGACAACAGGACCGGGACCGAUAACAGGACCGACAACAGGACCGGGACGGACACGGAGACCGGAACCAGGACCGACAACAGGACCGGGACCGACAACAGGACCGGGACCGGACCGACAACAGGACCAGGACGGACACGGAGACCGGGACCGGGACCAGGACCGACAACAGGACCGGGACGGACACGGAGACCGGGACCGACAACAGGACCGGGACCGACAACAGUCCGGGACCGACAUCGGGACCGGGACCAGGAUCGAUAACAGGACCGGGACCGACACGGGAACCGGGACCAACACCGGGUGGACACCAGGACCGACACCGACACCGACACCGACACCCCCCGGUCCGGACACGGCAGGACGACGAACCGCCGCCACCUCCCCGCCUCCCCGCCAGCGGCUCUCGAUCGCCCCAUCGGUUCGGGCGGUUCCGUUCGUCGGUCCGGCGCGGUACCGGAUUCUCUUACCUUGCAGCUCCUUCCGAACCGCACCGGCAGCGUUCAGCGCCAACAGCGCCAACAGCGCCCGCAACCCCGCAGCGCCCCGCAACGCCGAACCCAUCCCGACGGAACCGGCGGUGCGGAGCGCGGCGGGGCGGAGCGGAGAAGCGGAGGGGCGGCCGUUCAAAAACGAGGAGGAAACAAAGAACCGCCAAUCAGCGACGGACAGAACCGGGGAGUCCCGGAGGAAUAACGGAGGAUCCCGCAACGCCGCCCCGCACGAACCCCGCAGCAACGCCGUCCGGAGCGGC